CAGGAACCCGGAUCGCGGCUUGCUUGCAAAAAUAAGACUAUUAUCACAAACACGCACAAGUGAGGACUGGUUUGCUAGUGAUCCAGCAGUUCUUGGAAAGAGUUAAGAAGAAAAAAGAAAUUGAAGUAUUGAAAUAGAAAAGAUCUUUCAAAGAAAGCCACUCAAACCAAGACCAAUUUCAG